rnacentral:lncRNA from 1 species
CAAAAUCACUAUCAAACACGCCCAUAGUCUACUGCACUAGAAGCUGAUAACAGGGUCAGGUCGAGUUUCAGCAGAAAACUGAAAUGUCAGCAUUUUGUAACUGAAAUGUCAGUAUUUUAUAGAGCAUCAAGUCCUCUUAGAAAAUGUAUUAAUUUCACCAAACCAACACUUUUCAGCCGUGUUUACACUUUCAUUUCUCGACUACACUAUAUCAAGGUCCGACAUGAUCAUCGUCUAUUCAGUUUGUACCACUCGGUGACUCAAAUUCAAAGAACUCCGGGGUUCUCGCUGCCCAGAUUGGAUUAUACAAUCAAACAAGAUGUAGCCAAGACAAAUUGGAUGAUCACUAAGUUAUGUAAGGAGGGUCGAAUUUCUGAAGCACGUAAGUUAUUUGAUGAAAUGCCUGACCCAGAUGUGAUUUCAUGGACCGCUUUAAUUUCGGGUUACAUAAAGUGUGGGGCGUUGAAAGAGGCCAGAGAACUGUUUGAUAGAGUUGACGCCAAGAAAAAUGUGGUCACGUGGACAGCUAUGAUUUCGGGGUAUGUUAAAAUGAAGAGAAUUUUUGAGGCUGAGAGGCUUUUUGAAGAAAUGCCAGAGAAGAAUGUGGUUUCUUGGAACACCAUGAUUGAUGGGUAUGUGCAAAGUGAUAGAAUAGAAAAGGCCUUGGGGUUGUUCGAAAGGAUGGACGAGAGGAAUGUGGUCUCUUGGAACACACUGAUUGCAGGGUUGGUAAAUUAUGGGAGGAUGAAGGAUGCAAAGGACCUUUUUGAUCGAAUGCCUCAAAGGGACGUAAUUUCUUGGACUAUUAUGAUUUCAGGAUUGGCUAGGGAAGGUAGAGUUGAAGAGGCUAGAAUGCUUUUUGAUACCAUGCCAGAGAGGAAUGUGGUUUCUUGGAACGCAAUGAUUACUGGGUACACCCAAAAUAUGAGGUUAGAUGAAGCAUUCGAUUUGUUUAAGAGAAUGCCAGAGAAGGAUGUGCCAUCUUGGAAUACAAUGAUUGCGGGAUUUAUUCAAAACAAGGAUUUAGAGAGGGCGAGGAAGUUAUUUAAUGAGAUGCCAAGGAAGAAUGUUGUUUCUUGGACUGCAAUGAUAAAUGGAUACGUGCAAGACGGACAAAGCGAAGAGGCAUUGAGAACAUUCUUUCAUAUGAAGAAGGAUAGCAGAGUGAAUCCUAAUGAAGCCACUUUUGUGAGCGUUUUGGGUGCUUGUAGUGACUUAGCAGGUCUUGGCGAGGGAAAGCAAGUCCACCAAGUAAUUAGCAAGGCAGUCUAUCAGGAGAGCGAAUUUGUGAUAUCUGCAUUGAUAAAUAUGUAUUCGAAAUGUGGAGAGCUGAUGAUGGCUAGAAAUAUGUUUGAGGAUGGGUUGAAAGGGAAGAGGGAUUUGGUCUCUUGGAAUACUAUGAUUGCAGCAUACUCUCACCACGGAUGUGGAAGAGAGGCAAUCACGGUGUUCAAAGAAAUGCAUAAUAUUGGUAUCAAACCAAAUGAUGCUACCUAUGUUGGAUUGCUUUCUGCUUGCAGCCAUGCUGGUCUGGUGGAGCAAGGGUUGGAGUACUUCGAUACGCUUUUGAGAGACGAGUGCAUAGAAGUGAGAGACGAUCAUUAUACAUGCCUUGUUGAUCUCUGUGGUAGAGCAGGAAGGCUCAAAGAGGCAUAUGAUCUUGUAGAACAGCUCCCAAACAAAGUAUCAGCAGGUGUUUGGGGGGCUCUUCUUGCGGGAUGCAACAUUCAUGGGGAUGAGGAUGUAGGAAAACUUGCAGCAAUCAAACUUUUGGAUAUGGAGCCAGAAAAUGCAGGCACUUAUAUGCUUUUGUCUAAUAUAUAUGCUUCCAGCGGGAAAUGGCAAGAGGCAGCAUUCCAGAGAUUGAAGAUGAAGGAGAAAAGGUUGAAAAAACAGCCAGGUUGCAGUUGGAUUGAAGUUGGGAACAGAUUUCAUGUUUUUCUUGUUGGUGAUAAAUCUCAUACAGAGAGCAAGAUCAUGCGUCUCUUACUUUUAAAUCUUCAUAAGAAAAUGAAGAAGAUGGGUUCUAUACCAUUGCACGAUCUGACAAUGGAAGAUGGUAUUUAGCACUUUAAGUAUAUUUUUGAUGCCUCCCGCCAGUGUGAUGAUGGUGUUUAUGCCAAAAAAGAUUCUGGUGCUCAGAAAAGAUGAAUUGAGUUGCAGUGAUGAUUAAUCCUGAGUGUUUUGAGUAUGGAGAUUGAGGCUUCAUGUAUGUGUGCUGAAGACACUGGGCUCAGAUAAUCAUUUCCCUUCUCUGAUCAUGUAAGUUUUCUGCUUCUAUUGAUAAUGUGCAACUGGUAUGAGAGCAGACUGAUUACAAUGGGUUUUUACAAAACAGAAAGAGACGAUGAUUUAUUGCCAUUGGUGAUGGAUUGCCGGAAGUUUACCACUGAUGAGACCAAACUACUCAAAAUUGGAGGCGAAGAUGCAGG